CUAAGAAGUGAGCCCCAGAUUCUGCCAAGAGCUUCUUGUCCGAGGAAGAUGAAGAGAUCAUUGACAGAGAAGUCCUGUGAAGACUUUUACACAUGGUCUCUUUGCCCAGCCCAGUUCGUAGCCACAAGCAGAAGGUGACCCAGGCACAUGCGUAUCUCAGACAUCUGUUGACCUCUCAUCUGCUCCGACCAUCGGAUGACCUGUGAGGAAUGGGUUCGGAGCCUGCCUUUCUGUCCCUAACAUGAAGGGAGGUCCAGCCUAUGGGCUGCUGCUGGGCCUCGUUCGGGACAGGACCACGUGGGCCAUCUGACCAGGGCCAGGGAAACAGAAGAGAGCACCUCAGCCUCUAGAACAACAGUGAGUCCCCAGAGAGCCUUUCUUUACCUCACA
rnacentral:lncRNA from 1 species